GUCUUUUUGAGAUCAAUUUAAAGUCUGACCUGCCCACUGAAAUUUUAACGGCCGCAGUACACUAACUGUGCAAAGGUAGCAUAAUAAUUAGUCUUUUAAUUGAAGGCUGGAAUGAAUGGUCGGACGAAAUACUAACUGUUUCAUUAAAAAUUUUUAUAGAACUUUAUUUUUUAGUCAAAAAGCUAAAAUACAAUUAAAAGACGAGAAGACCCUAUAAAGCUUUAUAAUUUGUUUAAUUUAAAUAAUCAAGAUUUUUAAGAUUUAAAUUUAAUAAAUUAUUUUAUUGGGGUGAUAUUAAAAUUUGAAAAACUUUUAAUUGUAAAAACAUUGAUUUAUGAGCAAUUGAUCCACUUUUUGUGAUUAGAAAUUUAAGUUACUUUAGGGAUAACAGCGUAAUUUUUUUGGAGAGUUCAUAUCGAUAAAAAAGAUUGCGACCUCGAUGUUGGAUUAAGGAAUAAAUUUAGGCGCAGUUGUUUAAAUUAUAAGUCUGUUCGACUUUUAAACCCUU
rnacentral:rRNA from 1 species